rnacentral:rRNA from 1 species
AUUGAACGCUGGCGGCAGGCCUAAUACAUGCAAGUCGAGCGGAUGAAGGGAGCUUGCUCCUGGAUUCAGCGGCGGACGGGUGAGUAAUGCCUAGGAAUCUGCCUGGUAGUGGGGGAUAACGUCCGGAAACGGGCGCUAAUACCGCAUACGUCCUGAGGGAGAAAGUGGGGGAUCUUCGGACCUCACGCUAUCAGAUGAGCCUAGGUCGGAUUAGCUAGUUGGUGGGGUAAAGGCCUACCAAGGCGACGAUCCGUAACUGGUCUGAGAGGAUGAUCAGUCACACUGGAACUGAGACACGGUCCAGACUCCUACGGGAGGCAGCAGUGGGGAAUAUUGGACAAUGGGCGAAAGCCUGAUCCAGCCAUGCCGCGUGUGUGAAGAAGGUCUUCGGAUUGUAAAGCACUUUAAGUUGGGAGGAAGGGCAGUAAGUUAAUACCUUGCUGUUUUGACGUUACCAAUAGAAUAAGCACCGGCUAACUUCGUG